rnacentral:rRNA from 1 species
AUAUCAAUAAGCGGAGGAAAAGAAACCAACAGGGAUUGCCCCAGUAACUGCGAGUGAAGCGGCAAAAGCUCAAAUUUGAAAUCCGGUGCUCUCACGGCGCCUGAGUUGUAAUUUGGAGGGGCAUCUUCGAGGCUGGCGCCGUCCCAAGUUCCUUGGAACAGGACGUCACAGAGGGUGAGAAUCCCGUGCGCGGGCGGAUGCCCGGCCUCAUGUGAAGUGUCUCCGACGAGUCGAGUUGUUUGGGAAUGCAGCUCAAAAUGGGUGGUAAAUUUCAUCUAAAGCUAAAUACCGGCGGGAGACCGAUAGCGCACAAGUAGAGUGAUCGAAAGAUGAAAAGCACUUUGAAAAGAGAGUUAAAAAGUACGUGAAAUUGUUGAAAGGGAAGCGCUUGAGACCAGACUCGAUUGGUGGCGAUCAGCCGCGCUUCUGCGCGGUGCACUGGCUGCCGGUCGGGCCAGCAUCGGUUCCGGCGGCGGGACAACAGGGGUGGAAACGUAGCUGUACUCGUACAGUGUUAUAGUCCGCGCCACAAUGCCGCCUGCCGGGACCGAGGACCGCGCCCUCUGGGCUAGGAUGCUGGCGUAAUGGUCUUAAGCGACCCGUCUUGAAACACGGACCAAGGAGUCUAACAUCUAUGCGAGUGUUCGGGUGGGAAACCCUUGCGCGUAAUGAAAGUGAACGGAGGUGGGAACUAACGCACCAUCGACCGAUCCUGAUGUCUUCGGAUGGAUUUGAGUAGGAGCAUAGCUGUUGGGACCCGAAAGAUGGUGAACUAUGCCUGAAUAGGGUGAAGCCAGGGGAAACUCUGGUGGAGGCUCGCAGCGGUUCUGACGUGCAAAUCGAUCGUCAAAUUUGGGUAUAGGGGCGAAAGACUAAUCGAACCAUCUAGUAGCUGGUUCCUGC